rnacentral:rRNA from 1 species
UGGGGAAUUUUGGACAAUGGGCGAAAGCCUGAUCCAGCAAUGCCGCGUGUGUGAAGAAGGCCUUCGGGUUGUAAAGCACUUUUGUCCGGAAAGAAAUCCUCUGGGUUAAUACCUCGGGGGGAUGACGGUACCGGAAGAAUAAGCACCGGCUAACUACGUGCCAGCAGCCGCGGUAAUACGUAGGGUGCAAGCGUUAAUCGGAAUUACUGGGCGUAAAGCGUGCGCAGGCGGUUUUUGUAAGACGGAUGUGAAAUCCCCGGGCUUAACCUGGGAACUGCAUUCGUGACUGCAAGGCUAGAGUAUGGCAGAGGGGGGUAGAAUUCCACGUGUAGCAGUGAAAUGCGUAGAGAUGUGGAGGAAUACCGAUGGCGAAGGCAGCCCCCUGGGCCAAUACUGACGCUCAUGCACGAAAGCGUGGGGAGCAAACAGGAUUAGAUACCCUGGUAGUCCACGCCCUAAAACGAUGUCAACUAGUUGUUGGGGAUUCAUUUCCUUAGUAACGUAGCUAACGCGUGAAGUUGACCGCCUGGGGAGUACGGUCGCAAGAUUAAAACUCAAAUGAAUUGACGGGGUCAUAGCUGUUUCCU